UGGGGUAUAGCUCAUGGGUAGAGCAUUUGCAUGCCAUAUGUGAGGCCCUGGGUUCAAUCCCCAGUAUCACAU
rnacentral:tRNA from 1 species